rnacentral:rRNA from 1 species
UAAGACGAGCCACACAAACGUUAUUCGGAAUCACUGGGCUUAAAGGGUGCGUAGGCUGCGCGGAAAGUGGGGUGUGAAAGCCCUCGGCUCAACCGAGGAAUGGCGCUCCAAACUACCGUGCUAGAGGAAGACAGAGGUAAGCGGAACUGAGGGUGGAGCGGUGAAAUGCGUUGAUAUCCUCAGGAACACCGGUGGCGAAAGCGGCUUACUGGGUCUUUUCUGACGCUGAGGCACGAAAGCUAGGGUAGCAAACGGGAUUAGAUACCCCGGUAGUCCUAGCUGUAAACGAUGAGCACUUGGUUGAAGGGCCCUCCAUAGCCUUUCAGCCGGAGCGAAAGUGUUAAGUGCUCCGCCUGGGGAGUAUGGUCGCAAGGCUG